rnacentral:rRNA from 1 species
GUGAAAUUGUUGAAAGGGAAGCGCUUGCAACCAGACCUGCCUGCAGUUGCUCAUCCGGGCUUUUGCCCGGCGCACUCUUCUGCUGUCAGGCCAGCAUCGGUUCGGGCGGUCGGAUAAAGGCUUCGGGAAUGUAGCUCCUCUCGAGGAGUGUUAUAGCCCGUUGCGAAAUGCGGCCAGCCUGAACUGAGGUCCGCGCUUCGGCUAGGAUGCUGGCGUAAUGGUUGUAAGCGGCCCGUCUUGAAACACGGACCAAGGAGUCUAACAUCUGUGCGAGUGUUUGGGUGUCAAACCCGUACGCGUAAUGAAAGUGAACGGAGGCGGGAACCCCUCGGGGUGCACCGUCGACCGAUCCUGAUGUCUUCGGAUGGAUUUGAGUAAGAGCAUAGCUGUUGGGACCCGAAAGAUGGUGAACUAUGCCUGAAUAGGGUGAAGCCAGAGGAAACUCUGGUGGAGGCUCGCAGCGGUUCUGACGUGCAAAUCGAUCGUCAAAUUUGGGCAUAGGGGCGAAAGACUAAUCGAACUAUCUAGUAGCUGGUUCCUGCCGAAGUUUCCCUCAGGAUAGCAGUAACGUUUUCAGUUUUAUGAGGUAAAGCGAAUGAUUAGAGGCCUGGGGGUUGAAACAACCUUCACCUAUUCUCAAACUUUAAAUAUGUAAGAAGUCCUUGUUGCUUAGUUGAACGUGGACAUUUGAAUGUAUCGUUACUAGUGGGCCAUUUUUGGUAAGCAGAACUGGCGAUGCGGGAUGAACCGAACGCGGAGUUAAGGUGCCGGAAUGCACGCUCAUCAGACACCACAAAAGGUGUUGGUUCAUCUAG